GAGCGGUAGAGAGAAGCUUGCUUCUCUUGAGAGCGGCGGACGGGUGAGUAAUGCCUAGGAAUCUGCCUAGUGGUGGGGGAUAACGUUCGGAAACGGACGCUAAUACCGCAUACGUCCUACGGGAGAAAGCGGGGGACCUUCGGGCCUCGCGCCAUUAGAUGAGCCUAGGUCGGAUUAGCUAGUUGGUGAGGUAAUGGCUCACCAAGGCUACGAUCCGUAACUGGUCUGAGAGGAUGAUCAGUCACACUGGAACUGAGACACGGUCCAGACUCCUACGGGAGGCAGCAGUGGGGAAUAUUGGACAAUGGGCGAAAGCCUGAUCCAGCCAUGCCGCGUGUGUGAAGAAGGUCUUCGGAUUGUAAAGCACUUUAAGUUGGGAGGAAGGGUAGUAACUUAAUACGUUGCUACUUUGACGUUACCGACAGAAUAAGCACCGGCUAACUUCGUGCCAGCAGCCGCGGUAAUACGAAGGGUGCAAGCGUUAAUCGGAAUUACUGGGCGUAAAGCGCGCGUAGGUGGUUCAGUAAGUUGGAAGUGAAAUCCCCGGGCUCAACCUGGGAACUGCUUUCAAAACUGCUGAGCUAGAGUACGGUAGAGGGUAGUGGAAUUUCCUGUGUAGCGGUGAAAUGCGUAGAUAUAGGAAGGAACACCAGUGGCGAAGGCGACUACCUGGACUGAU
rnacentral:rRNA from 1 species